rnacentral:rRNA from 1 species
GACAGAGGGUGCAAACGUUGUUCGGAUUUACUGGGCGUAAAGCGUGUGUAGGCGGCUUCGCAAGUUGGAUGUGAAAUCCCACGGCUCAACCGUGGACGUGCAUCCAAAACUGCGUCGCUAGAGUCUCGGAGAGGAAGGUGGAAUGCUUGGUGUAGAGGUGAAAUUCGUAGAUAUCAAGCAGAACACCUGCGGCGAAGGCGGCCUUCUGGACGGUGACUGACGCUGAGACACGAAAGCCUGGGGAGCGAACGGG